rnacentral:ncRNA from 2 species
CCUAGGCGGGUUGUCCCAGGUGUCUCGUGCCGGCGCGCACGAGGUGAAACGGGAAGCCGGUGACGCUCUCCGAGCCAGUCCGGCGCUGCCCCCGCAACGGUAAGCGCAUCGCGCGCGAGCCCGGAGACCGGCCUGGAACCUUUCGUUUGA